AUUGAACGCUGGCGGCAGGCCUAACACAUGCAAGUCGAGCGGGCGGCGGACGGGUGAGUAAUGUAUGGGCACCUGCCUGACAGAGGGGUAUAACUACUGGAAACGGUGGCUAAUAGCGCUUACUACCCGAUCAACCCAUAGGGGAUUAGCUAGUAGGUGGGGUAAAGGCACACCUAGGCGACGAUCCAUAGCUGGUCUGAGAGGAUGAUCGGCCACACUGGGACUGAGACACGGCCCAGACUCCUACGGGAGGCAGCAGUGGGGAAUAUUGCGCAAUGGGCGAAAGCCUGAUGGAGCCAUGCCGCGUGAGUGAAGAAGGCCUUCGGGUUGUAAAGUACUUUCGGCAGAGAAGCGGUACCCGAAGAGGAAGCAACGGCUAACUCCGUGCCAGCAGCCGCGGUAAUAC
rnacentral:rRNA from 1 species